rnacentral:rRNA from 1 species
AUGCCUCUUCCUAUUCCUCAUCAACCUUGGGAAGACAUUAGCAUGGAUUUUAUACUUGGUCUUCCUAGAACUCAAAAUGGAAAGGAUUCCGUGUUUGUUGUUGUGGACCGGUUUUCUAAGAUGGCACAUUUCAUUCCUUGCAACAAGAUAGACGAUGCUUCACAUAUUGCCAAUCUAUUUUGUAGGGAAAUCUUGCGACUUCAUGGAGUACCAAAGACAAUUGUCUCGGACCGUGACGUCAAGUUCUUGAGUUAUUUUUGGAAGACCCUAUGCGCCAAGCUCGGCAUCAAGCUAGUGUUCUCUUCGGCAUACCAUCCUCAAACCGAUGGCCAAAUGGAGGUGACGAACCGUACACUCUCCACUCUACUUCGCGUGUUGAUCAAGAGGAACAUCAAGGAGUGGGAGGCGUGCCUACCAAUCGCUGAGUACACCUACAACCGUGCAAGACAUUCGACAACCGGCAAGUCCCCCUUUGAGGUCGUCUACGGCUUCAACCCGUUGUCCCCAUUGGACAUUCUACCUCUUCCUCUACAAGAGCGCACCAACCUCAACGCAAGUGCACGUGCAAGCUACAUCAAGAAGAUGCAUGAAGAUACAAGGCACACCAUCGAGCGCCAAGUACAACGCCUCGCGACCAAGCUCAACAUCGACAAACACCCCAUGAUAUUCAACAUUGGAGACCUAGUGUGGCUACAUCUUCGCAAGGACUGCUUCCCCAACGAACACAAGUCCAAGCUUCUCCCUCGCGCCGACGGACCUUUCAAGGUGCUAGCACGCUACAACAACAAUGCUUACAAGAUCGAUCUCCCACGCGACAAGUACAACAUGAGCGACAUCUUCAACAUCUCCGAUCUCUCCCCGUACCAUGGUGAUGAGGAUUUCGAUCCGAGGUUGGAUAUUUCACAAGGGGGGGGAGAUGAUGCGGAGCAUCCCUCGCUCAUCCCAAUGGACGUGCCUACAUCUCCCUCAACACCACUUGGACCCAUGACACGAGCCCGAGCUAAGGCUAUCGAAGAUAAGGUGAACUCGCUCCUCUCCGAACUCCCUCUUCCUACUCACGAGACAUGGCUACUACCUCAUUCGGAGACUCUAUGUGUAAUCAGGUACAUGGAGGUGAGCCAAGGAUCAACCACUUGCAAGAGCCAAGACGGCGAGGACCCCAAGCAUGUUGAAGAAGAAGAAGAGAUGAUGCUGAAGCUACAGGCAUCAGACGACGACUCCCAGGCCACGGACGACCGACACCCUCCGGACGUCCGGCAGCUAGGCACCCGAACCGAAACUACGGACGACCGGAACCACCGGACGUCCGACCGAUGCACGCCCGAACCGAAUCUACGGACGACUGACGACUUCCGGACGAUCGGACCGUCACGAAGCUCCGGACGACCGACCCCCUCCGGACGUCCGACGCGCCCACGACAGAGCUGA